rnacentral:rRNA from 1 species
UACGUAGGGUGCGAGCGUUGUCCGGAAUUAUUGGGCGUAAAGAGCUCGUAGGCGGUGUGUCGCGUCGGUCGUGAAAACUUGGGGCUUAACUCUGAGCUUGCGGUCGAUACGGGCAUCACUGGAGUUCGGCAGGGGAGACUGGAAUUCCUGGUGUAGCGGUGAAAUGCGCAGAUAUCAGGAGGAAUACCGGUGGCGAAGGCGGGUCUCUGGGCCGAUACUGACGCUGAGGAGCGAAAGCGUGGGGAGCGAACAGG